CCUACGGGAGGCAGCAGUGAGGAAUAUUGGUCAAUGGACGCAAGUCUGAACCAGCCAUGCCGCGUGAAGGAUGAAGGCGUUUGCGUUGUAAACUUCUUUUAUCUGGGAAGCGGUACCAGAGGAAUAAGCACCGGCUAACUCCGUGCCAGCAGCCGCGGUAAUACGGAGGGUGCAAGCGUUAUCCGGAUUCACUGGGUUUAAAGGGUGUGUAGGCGGGCUAUUAAGUCCGAGGUGAAAUCUCCGAGCUUAACUCGGAAACUGCCUUGGAUACUAUUAGUCUUGAAUAUCGUUGAGGUUGGCGGAAUAUGUCAUGUAGCGGUGAAAUGCUUAGAUAUGACAUAGAACACCGAUUGCGAAGGCAGCUGGCUAACGUAAUUGACGCUGAGGCACGAAAGCGUGGGGAUCAAACAGGAUUAGAUACCCUUGUAGUC
rnacentral:rRNA from 1 species